CUCUACUGGCCAGCCGCCACUGAUCGGGAAGUAAAGCCCGAGUCCCGAUCAGUCUGAAACCACGUGAUCAUGUGAUCAGAUCGGGACAUCCCUUGUGCAAAGGUGGUAAAUUUCCACAGUUUUUAUUAGGGAUGCACAGAUACUGAUACUUGUAUCGGUAUGGGUGCCAAUAUCGAUACCAGUAUCGGUAUUGAUAAAAGUUAACCGAUACUAAUGCAGUUGCUUGAAAGUGGCUUCACUGUCACGUCAUUUCUGUUGACCUAAUAUUUGAGUUUUGUGAUAAUUUCUAUUCAUAUAUUUUACUUUUUAUCUACUUCACAGUCUUUUCCUAUUGAAAGCAGAGAAGUAAAUAAAACCUGUAUUCCAAUUAAUAGCAUUUUUUUGUGUGUGGUAGAAGUAUCAGUAAUCGGCAUUGGCGAGUACUCGGAUCCAAGUAUUGGUAUUGUAUCGGUUUGGAAAAAAGUGGUAUUGUUGAAUCCCUAGUUUUUAUUACACAAAAGUUAAAAUCCAGUCAUAACUCCAACAAGAGGACAACGUCCUCCAAUAACACUUUACUUACUCAUGCUUUUUUCUCUCCUCAGCUGGUGUCAGAAAUGGUUCUCACACUAAAGGUCUUCAAACUUCUAAACAUUAUACUCACAACUUAGACCAUAAAGUCACACCCACAGUAUCAGAAGAGCGCCAUUCUCACAUUUUCAGUUUCCCACAUCACUCUGGAAUGAUUUUUUGUAAUAUGAGGGGACUCCACAUAUACCAGUAUUGGUUUAUGUUGGUAUUGAGUUAGACUAUAUCAGUAUGGAGUCAAUAUCAAACAUCCUUAAGGACUUUUGGGAACAGAGAUGCUCAUGUGACAAAGACAAUUGGCAUUUUGAGAGCAGAGUUAAAAGAAAAAACCAAAACAAAACUAGAGAAGAUCUGAGAUUUCUGAUUUCUGAAUCUGAUCCACAGCAAUCAAAUCCUUUGAAGAUGUGAUGAAAAUAUAUUGUACGUGCACCAGGGCUCACAAGGCCCAGAGAGAAGACUCUUACUAGGCAUAUCUGUAUUUGUUUGACUUCAGUUUAAGUCACCAAUGCAGCCUAAGAAUGGUGAGCUAGUCGAUGUAAUUCAUGCCUGUGUACAGCAGAUGGCAGUCUCUGCUUUGCAGUUUGAAAGUUUCAACCUAUUCUGCAUUUAGUUUUUCCUAAUCCAGUGUCCAGCUGGCUGCUGUACAUUUCUGAUGUGUUUGAAUACAAAAAUAAAACCUGAUGGACUUCUUUGAACGGGUUGAAGUAUCAGGAAAGUUAAAGAAACAAAAUCCUUGAAGUGUUCCUCUGCAUCUGAGGCUUCGUGACCACCCAGAUCCACCACCUGAAACCUAAUUCGAAACCUUUAAACGAGGCUCUUGAGCAGCUUUCUCAUGGGACGGCCAGAACAAAUACUCCACUGUGACGAUGACCUUCAAAGAGGUAUAAACAAGCUCCAGGAACGCCAUCUAACUGGAUUCCCGGUGAUCCACUCAAAAUGUGCAAUCGCGUCAGAUUGAUUUCUGUUUAUUUAUUUUGAUUGUGAGCUUAUUCAAAACCUUAUUUUAAAAAUAAACUCUAAGAUAAGGAUUACGGCGUCGUCCCAGAUGGCUGCUGCUGAAGAACAAGUCUAAUUGUAUACCGGUGACAAGAAAAUCUACAAACUUUCAUUGAUUAAAUGUCAGAGAUGAUGCAUAAAUUUGUCUGAUAUCUUUUCUGUUUUGGUGACCCAGACACGGUGGCGGCCCUAAUUAUCUUCCCCAUUGAAACCACGCUCUGGGGCCUUGACUGCAGCUGCCGCCUGAUGAAGUCACCACGAUGUGGGUGUUGGGUGAAAUCACCAAAAUGGGAAAUGGACGACAGGAAGAAUGGAGAUUGUGUUGAUGAGGAAGUGACGUUUAAAGAAAAGGAGAGACAGACCGAGAUGAGCUGGGUGUUGGGAGACAAUGGGUGAGCCAUGAGAGAGGUUCGCGGCACCCCUCCGUGGUAUUCUUGCAUGUGGGACGGGGCACAGAGAUGAAGUAUUGUUGGAAGCCAGAGGCGGGGGAACGGCUCAUGCUGGAGCUGGGUGUGUGUAGGAGGUAAACGGACAAAGAGAGGAAAGAGUGAAAGUGUGUUUUCUGACGCUGGUGAACAAAGAGGCCUUUGCUGUUGGCUUGUUCUGGUGCUUUCCCUCUUGAACCAGCUGCAAAAAAAAAAAAAAUCUGACUAAGCAGGACAGAAGAGGUGGCUGGGAACGAGCUUGACAAAAAAGCAGGAAACGUUCAUGUGAGAUGGAAUGCGUUCAUCAACACCAGCGUUUUUGUCGAGUGGUGUCAUAAAGCCCCAAAGAGACCUGAAAUAAAACAUUUUUAUUCUUGUAUGUGAAACUUCAAAGUUUGUUUCAUUAGAAGCAGUACUUUAAGUGAGCUAUGUUUAUUUAUUUUAUUUUUUACCUCUGAAGCCUAAUUUAUACUUUGUGUCUGGACGGAAGCACACAACGCAUUUAUCCGUCCAUU